rnacentral:tRNA from 1 species
GCCGGUGUGGUGGAAUUGGUAGACGCAGCGGACUCAAAAUCCGCCGGCCUUCGCGGGCCGUGCCGGUUCGAUUCCGGCCACCGGCACCA